rnacentral:rRNA from 1 species
AGUAGUUAGCGCCUUACCUUAGGGUUUCCUCUGGGGUAAGUGAUUGCUUCUACACUGUGAAAAUUUGGCUGAGAGACUCAGACUGGUCAUGGGUAGACCUAUCUGGGGUUUGAUCGAUGCCACUCCUGGUUUCAGGAGUACCCUUCAUAAUAAACCUAGAAAUUCAGUAUUAUAAAGUUUAAUAAAAAACAACUUUUAACAAUGGAUCUCUUGGUUCUCGCAUCGAUGAAGAACGUAGCAAAGUGCGAUAACUAGUGUGAAUUGCAUAUUCAGUGAAUCAUCGAGUCUUUGAACGCAGCUUGCACUCUAUGGUUUUUCUAUAGAGUACGCCUGCUUCAGUAUCAUCACAAACCCACACAUAACAUUUGUUUAUGUGGUGAUGGGUCGCAUCGCUGUUUUAUUACAGUGAGCACCUAAAAUGUGUGUGAUUUUCUGUCUGGCUUGCUAGGCAGGAAUAUUACGCUGGUCUCAGGAUCUUUUUUUUUGGUUCGCCCAGGAAGUAAAGUACAAGAGUAUAAUCCAGUAACUUUCAAACUAUGAUCUGAAGUCAGGUGGGAUUACCCGCUGAACUUAAGCAUAUCAAU